rnacentral:rRNA from 1 species
GAAUUUUAUAUAAAUUUAUUUGGUAAAUAAUAAAAAGAAUUAAAAUAAAUUUAUAUUUUAUUGGGAGGAUAGUUAAAUUAAAAAAACUUUAUUUUUUAAAUAAAUCAUUAAUAUAUGAUGAGUAGUAAUUGAAUGAUUUAUAAAUUUAAAAAGAAUUAAUUACCUUAGGGAUAACAGCGUUAUAUCUUUAGAGAGAUCUUAUUAAUAAAGAUGAUUGC